CCCAGGGUCACCACAAGCCAGGCUCUUCUACCCACGAGGGAGCUCAUCUCCUCCCUCUCUGCUUAGCUGGGCUGAGUAUUCAGGUCAGGGAAGCCCAGAACAUGCAACGAGCCCACUCUUAUUCAAAACCGGUGACUCUACCCCACGAAGAGUUAGGGAGAUAAAAAGAGGCUUAGGGUAGCUCAUGGGGGAGCUCAUCUCUUCAAGCUCAGGGAGCAGAGAGGAGGCGGCACCAUGACCUGGGCUCCUCUCCUCCUCACCUUCCUCACUCAGUACACAGGGACUGUGGCCCAGGCAAGGCUGACUCAGGUGCCCUCGGUGUCCCAGAUCUUGGGACACACGGUCACCCUCACCUGCACUGGGAACAGCAACAAUGUUGGUUACGAGGGAGCAGCCUGGCUGCAGCAGCACCCGGGUCUUGUCCCCAAACUCCUGACCCACAGGAAUAACAACCGAGCCCUGGGGGUCUCAGAGAGGUUCUCUGGCUCCAGGUCAGGGGACAUAGCCUCCCUGACCAUCUCUGACCUCCAGCCUGAGGAUGAGGCUGAUUACUACUGUACUGCCUGGGACAGGAGCGUAGGCGCACACAGUGCUCCAGACCAGAGGGGAAAAAGACUUCAUAGUGAGGACCCAGAAUGCAAUUCUGCUCUAGGAGAGUCUGGCUGGGGAGGAGACCCAGCUGUGGGGGAGCUCCUCAUGGUGGGGCUUCUGGAGACGGAGCUUUGA